rnacentral:piRNA from 1 species
UACAAAUGGUGGCGAUUUGUGCCGAUUGGC